rnacentral:rRNA from 1 species
GACGAACGCUGGCGGCGUGCUUAACACAUGCAAGUCGAACGGUGAAGGGAUCAGCUUGCUGGUUCUGGAUGAGUGGCGAACGGGUGAGUAACACGUGAGUAACCUGCCCCCUUCUUCUGGAUAACCGCAUGAAAGUGUGGCUAAUACGGGAUAUUCUGGGUCUGUCGCAUGAUGGGUCUGGGAAAGAUAUUGUUUCGGUGUGGGAUGGGCUCGCGGCCUAUCAGCUUGUUGGUGGGGUGAUGGCCUACCAAGGCGGUGACGGGUAGCCGGCCUGAGAGGGUGGACGGUCACACUGGGACUGAGACACGGCCCAGACUCCUACGGGAGGCAGCAGUGGGGAAUAUUGCACAAUGGGCGCAAGCCUGAUGCAGCGACGCCGCGUGAGGGAUGGAGGCCUUCGGGUUGUAAACCUCUUUCGCCAGUGAAGCAGGCCUGCUCCUUGUGGGUGGGUUGACGGUAGCUGGAUAAGAAGCGCCGGCUAACUACGUG